rnacentral:snRNA from 1 species
GUGCUCAUUUUGCAACACAUAUACUAAAAUUGGAAUGUUACAGAGAAGAUUAGCAUGGCCCCUGUGCAAAGACAACACACAAAUUAAUUAAAAAUUUUAUAUUUUU